ensembl:lncRNA
GAGAAACAAGAUGCCCUUGUGGAGAAAACAAAUUAAACUUUCUCCCGGCGGGCUAAGUGCUACUGGGAGGAAGAAAAGCACAUCAUUUUCAGGGGAGCGACUCUCCGCUCACAUCUUGCUCCUGCUUAAAAUAGAAGCAGGAAGUUAAAACUCCAGACGGAUGGGGUGCCAGGGAAGUGAGAGGGAGUUGGAACAUUCCUGUUUUUGCCUAGAGAAGAUGCUCAUAUCACCCAGGAAGGAGAUCUGGGAUGGCACAAUGUGUAUUUAGACAGCAGUUACACAAAGUUGCAAGUCAGGAAGAAAAGCAAGAAUGUAACAAGACAUGGAUUUAAAAGCCUCCUGAUGGAGGCAAAGUUCCAGGUUGAAUAAGAAACAAAUAAUCCAGCGGCUCAGAUUUCAUCUUGGGGAUUUCAACAAUCACAGCCACAAGGAUUUCCCAGUUGCAGGUCCCUCUGAUUGUGCUAUGUGGGACGCCACCUCAGCAUGGCCGGAUGAGUGGCUCCAUGUCUGUGCCCAAGAUCCACGUCAGUGAAACCCGGGGCUGCUGAAGCGGAGUGUGCAAACUUAACCACUAGGCCAUGGGGCCAGGACUGGAAAAUAGUUUAUAAAAAUGACAAAAAAUUGGGGAGGUGGAGAUGGCGGUGUAGGCAGACUCUGAACUCACCUCCUCCCUGAACACAACCAGGUUACAGCUCUUCUUGGAAAAAUUACCCUGGAGAGAAAACAGAAAACUGGAUAAAAAGAACCCCCACAAGAAGGGACAGUCCUGACUGCGGCAGAAAUUUCUUCUGGAGAGAAAAAAGCCACCUUUGUGAGCCACAGAGAUUCAAAGCUGGCCAGGCGGGAGCCACCCUAAGGUUUUUGGGCAGAUCCCUCCACCUGUUAUAUCUUCAACUAGGAAAACCUUCUGAGAAUCAAAAGGGGUCCUGUGUCCUGAUAUCACAGUGACCAAUUUCUUUGAGACGGCUACAAGCUUCCAUAGAAAAGACUGGCUGACUGACUGCCUUCUAGCAAAUUCUAGUAUGGAGUAAGGAGAGAGGAUGCAACCACAUUACUCCGUGGGCUUCCAUUCACCCUCCUGGGGACCCCGUGAGAGAAAGUCGGUGGAUUAAAGGAGAGCUGACAAGCACCUGAGGAAUCAUACCCCAUUUUUCCUGGCGUUUCCACUUCUGAGAGACAGAAAUGGUGACAAAUGGAAAAUCUAAGAACCUCUGAACUCUGCUGUUUCAGGGGGACAGGACGUACCAUUCCGCUCUGUGAAAGCAGACUUUCUGACUGCGUGACAGAAAACUUGGGGGUCAAAUGUGGUUUGUGGAGCAAGACCUUUGAGUAAAUCAAAUGGUUUAUGAGGGAAGUUGUUUUCCUUACUCUCCUUGCUCGCUUUCAAACUCAACUAAGAAAUCCUCAGCAAGGAUCAACAACGAGCUCCCACGAUUAAUUUUUUCCUUUAUUUGGCCUUUCUUUCAGAACAUUUUUUUGUCAGUGUUUUCACAGCAGGCUUUUCCUGGGAUUCUUGUGUUUUUCACUGGCAUCCUUGCUCCCAUUCCCCUUACUCUCCACGGGAGGCCUCCCACAGGACGGGCAGACCUGCCCACCACCUGCUCUGUCAGGAACGAGGGACUCAGUGGUGCCCGUCAAUGAGAGUUCAGCCUUGGAGAGACGAAGGCUGACCAGCAUUUCUCAAGCUCCUCUCGUCAAAGAGCCACGUACCGAGGGAAGCUUUAGUUGGGGGAUGUUUUAAAUGCAGACGACUUCAGAGCACGUCGGAGCUGAGCAUUUGUGCUCCUGAGGCCUGACUUUCAUGGGGGGGCUCGCAGCUGGCUUGGGCACCCGGAAAUUUCAGUUCCUGUGCCAUUGACUUAUUUGCUCAGGGUGACACUACCCUAUCUAGGGUGACCAUAUGGUUUAUCACACAGACCAGGACAUUUUUGAGAAUAAAAGAG